GGAUCGCGUAUAAAUGAAUGUAUAACUGAAAAAAUAUAAUUUACAAUAAAAUAAUAAUGGUAUUGUUAAUAUAUUACAAUAUUUAGAUAUUUAUAACACGAUAUUGAACGUUUUUUCUAUAAUAUUUAGGUCUUUUUUAUUCUGUCGGAUUAUACAAUACAUUAUUGUUAUGUUACCUAUAAUUAAUAUUGCUGUUUUCUUUUUUUUUUUUUUUACUCUAGCCAGUGAACGGCAAAUGCCACCAAGUAAUUCAUAUUUUAAAUAUUUCAUAUAGACUUUAUUAGAAGUAAUAAAUUUACCAAGUAAAACUGAAAUUAUUCAAAUGGUGAAUAUUCUUAAAUAAAUAUAGAAGCUAUAGAUUAUCGUUUCUUACAAGUAUAAAUUAGAUUACCUAUAACAGUGGCUGCACUCGUCCCCAUUUAACUACGUUUACAUGUCUUUAUUAUAUACUAAUAGAACAUAAUUUACACAGAAAAGUCAAUGAUAUUUUUAUCAUGAAAAAUUAUUGAGAUAUUUAUAACACGAUAAUGAAACACAUUAUUAAUAUACUUGUAUUUUUUUUUCUCUUGAAGGUCAGGAAGAACCACGUAUGUUAUAUUCUAAAUUUUGUAUGUUGUCGUUAUUAGAAAACGUAUACGAUACGUUACUGGCCAAUUCGAUACCGUGUUACAAUUUCAAUCAUUGUUGAUAUGACAAUAAAUUUCAUCCCGAACCAAACCCUAAAAAUACAAAAUUGUGCGUACCCAACAAUUUUGCACCGACGACGACCGAGUGCGAGAACCGGAUCAUGAAGAAGGAACGAUCCGAAUGGAGCGACACCCUGCCAUCAUCACAUUAGAAUUAUAAUGUAACAUUAUAUAAUAUACAUUUUGUAUGAUGUUUUACUAAAAUACGUACAUAAAAUUUCAAUCAACCUAUAGAAUUUUGUUGAUAGUCACUUUUAGAAAAAGGCAACUGGGUCAAAAUGCCGCACGUGGGGAGAACUUAAAAUAGAACUUUUAGGCACUAUUCGCACCAACAUAUUAUAUCAUUAAAACUUAAAUGAUAAUACGUUUUAUUAUUUUCCUUUCUUUUUUUUUUUUUUUUUUUUUUUUUUUUUUUUUUACAAUAGUUGAAACAAGAAAUUUAUUAGGUAAGUUAUGUUUUUAAUAUCCUAUAUUUCUCAUCGUUUUAACUCUCGAUAGUACCACGAAAUCUGUGUUUUGUUUAACAAUUAUAAUUUUAUGCACUGUAAAAAAUUUUAAUUUAUCAAAAUAACUGUUACCGAACUUUAAUCAUGAUAUUUUGAAUACGUUUUAUCCAAAUGGUUACGAUAAUUUUUGUCUAAUUACCACCAAAAUAUAAUAAUUGUCCUGUUUUAAUUUUUAUUCUAGCUUUCUUUGACCGUAAGCCAAUAUUUGAUUUAGAAUUCAAUAUCAACACUAUAGGGUGUCUUACAGUGUCAUACGUACAUUGCACGUGUUAUAACUUACCAUUUUCAAUUUUUCAAUUUACUUUUUUUCAAUUGCGUUCCAGAUCAGUAGGAUACAUUUAUAAAGAAAAUAAAAUGUUUUCAUUCCUUCAAGACUGAAAAUAACGACUUUUUUUCACUAUUCAAAAGUUUCAAAAUAGCUACCUUGUAAAUAAUAUUCUUCUGAUUAUUUCAAUACAUUCAAAUCCGACCAAUUAUUAGUAUCAAUAGCUAAUUAAUUAUUGUUUUCACCAAUAAUUUAUUUUCAAUAGGAUAUCACGCGUUGCUCGAUAAGAAUUCAUAAUCAGCACGGUAAUUCCUUAUCUUUUAUUGACAGUUUAUUAUUAUCCCGCCAAUUUUUUAAAAAUUAAAACGGCUAUUACUCAGAAAUUAUUUAUCGGAUAUGAAGGUAAGCAACGAUUAACCAUUAAUAACGAAAAAAGGUAUCCUGGGAUAAUGGGGAUAGGUGCAGCCGCUAAUGUUGUGAGAGUUAGGAAGUUAGGAUAUUCCAUAUAUUGUUAGGACUAAUUUUGACUGAGUUUUUUGUGCAAUUAAUAAAACUUUUAUAAUCACGAUGUCUAAUCGUUCUACAAUGACUUCGAGUAUUAGAAAAACGUACGUAUGAUUCAGGCGUUUUUACAUUUUUUUUAAAUAUGAUAAGAAUUUUGUUUGCGUUAUAUUCAUAUUUUUAGUUCUUUACUAAACCAAAUAGGAUUGGAUGUACUAGGUCUGCAAACUUUCGGUAUAAAUCGAUUUAUAACACAAUUAAUAUGGGUAUCUUUAUCGAAAUCAUUAUUAAUAUUAUAACAGUUAGAAUUCAUUGUAUUGAACCAGUUAAUAUUAUCUAAGUAGCUUAUAAUGAUUCUGUAAUCACCAGAAUUCCAAUUCGAGACAUAUUCGUUGAAUUGUUAAUCUACAGAAAUUAAGCAAUUGUAAGUUAUAGAUAGUGGGACGUGAAAAUCAUCUACAGGCACACUGGAAAAGGUAUUUCGUUUAACAUACACGGAUAAACAAUCAAAAAUUACAUAAUCAAGGAUUACGGAUUUUAUAUUAGAUGUAUGAUUGUAUUUAUAUGACACAUUUAAAUAAUAUGUUUUAUCAUUAAAAUGCGAUUCAUUGUAGGGAAAGUUAGCAAAAGAUAAUUUAUAAUCGCCCAGUUAUCAAUAGACCGAUCCUGGUCGGUUAUCAACCAUACACUCAAUUUAUGUUAAAAUGUUCCAUUUUUUAAUAGUAGAUGUUACGAUCCAUUCGGGAUUUAUUCAAAAAAAUGUUUAAUUCAUUGUUCACUAUCGGUCCGUUGUAAAGUAGUACGUAAUAUGGAUUGAGAACGGAGUGUUUCAAAUACUUCUGUAGCAUUAGAUAAUACAAUUUUCACCGGUCGUUGUUUAUCUGAAGUAGUUGAAUUCGGUUGACCGAGACGAGAGAAAUUGAUUUAAGUAAUUUGUUUUAUCCAUUUCGCUGAGCAUCUUGAAGAAAUGUACAUUAUCAGUUUCCGAAUGUUCAGUAUUAUUCUUAGAUUCAGUAAAUUGAAUACGAUUAAGUUGUUAAUCCUGUUCGGAUUCUGUUACGGUUCAGUUUUUCCCGUUUAUGGAAGAUUUUCUAGGAAAAUCAAAAAAAGACCCUUCUAAAGUACAAUCCCCAUUCCGAUUUUCUUUCUAAAAUGGUGCUAUCUUUCAUAAGUGGAGCAAAAAUGCGCGGAGAAAACCCUAAUAGAACAUUGACAUGAAUAAUAGACAACCUUGUGUUUUAAGCUUCGCUCGGAUCUAAAAUGGCUAUUUUGAAAAUGUUAAAAAGUGAAACACGAUUGAAAAAAAAAUAUAAGUUACACAACGUUCAUAUAACACUGUACGACAUUCUGUAUGUUAAAAGAUUACUUUGUGAUUGUUAAGUAUGAUUAAUUAUAAGUAUUUAAUGGAUGACGAGAAAAAAAUUUUAAAUAAAAAGACGAUAGUGGGAUGGGUGUGUCACUUUUGUUAGUGGAAAGUCGGGAAGAUAUGGAUACAUAAUGUUAUUUAAUUUAUAUCCAUGUAAAACGAAAAAGGGAUACUUGUAUGAAGGACAACCGACGGUACAACUUCCAAUUCAGAAAAAGAGUCAAGAACCCGACCAAAUGGCUUCCUGUUGAUUAGAUACGAGCUUAACCAAGUAAGGAGGUGAUUCCCGCCAAGUGCCAGUAGUUCUCUAAUUAUAAGUUCACAAUCAAACGUAUCAAAUUAUUUUCUAAAAUCUGUGAAGAUUACGUCGACUUGAAUUUUCUGCUCGUGGCAUUCAAUGACAUAUGAUGUAAUUAUAUUAUUAUCAAAAGAAGUUCCAACUCAUCGUACGACGAUUGAGAAUGUUGUAUACUAUUGUAUUUCUGAAUCAUAUAAUUUGUCCAUAUAUUGUACAGAUUUAUGAACAAUAUAUGAUUUAUUAUUUAUAUAAAAAGUAACCUUAUGUUACGGGCGACGGCUCGGUUUCCCAACAUGUAUAACGUUAUGUAGUAUAGGGUAUAGGCCUAUAGUACAGUGCUACUCGGGUGAUAUAUACCCAGAGUCAAAUUAGACAGGUAUAAUUAUCUCACAUGUAAAAUCUACGUAUUACCGAUCAAGCCGUAUCUAUAAAUCCGCCUAACGCCGAGGCAAUUUCGAAUAUUGCAGGAAAGCGCUCGAAAAAUGUAAAAAAAAAAACCCCUGUCGCAAUGCAAACGACCGCGAUCAAUCUAUUUCGGCAGAAUAGAAUUAAUCUGUGUAAUAAGAUACCUAUGGGCGUAUUCUCGCGAGACCUGGAUGCAGGAGCCGACGUACGAGGUUAUCGCCCUACUGGCAAUAUCAUGAUGUUGCCUAAAAGCGAGUACUAUACAUAAAUAGCAGGAGGGGGGGGGAGGUUCCUAGGGCAUCUGUACUGGUCGCCGAGUAACUCUUUUCAGACGAGUCUUACCACGUUCAUUUGCGAGCACUUUCACGCCACCUUCACUUGUUAUAAUAUAUUUCAACUGAAAUAAAAAAACUUAUACAACUAUGGGAAAUAACUCUUUCAACAUAAACUUGACUCUGAGUGUGANAAUACGCCCAAAACACUUUUCACUGGUCAUUCAAUAAGUCUGUGUAGAAAAGCUUCGUCGUGGUCUUAGGAUCGCGUAUAAAUGAAUAUAUAACUGAAAAAAUAUAAUUUACAAUAAAAUAAUAAUAGUAUUGUUAAUAUGAUACAAUAUUUAGAUAUUUAAACACGAUAUUGAACGUUUUUCUGUAAUAUUUAGGUAUUUUUUAUUUUGUCGGAUUAUACAAUACAUUAUUGUUAUGUCACCUAUAUUUAAUAUUACUGUUUUCUUUUUUUUUUUACUCUAGCCAGUGAACAACAAAGGCCAUCAAGU
rnacentral:lncRNA from 1 species